UCCCCCAGAUACACCCUCCCCUGGCGCUCGCACGCAACCUCCUCGUCUACCUCGCCCUCGCCUCUGCCCUCCCCUCCCCCCGCGCCGCCACAUCCCACCUCGCCACAGAAGUCCGCCCGGGCGAGGAAGAGGCCCAAACAGCUCCCACUCUGAAGCUCAAGGAGGUUGCAAUCACCACCGGUGAACAGGAUAAGACAUCCAUGAUAUGUAGCCACUUCUCCUCUCUCUCUCCUAGCCAAGCUCGGGCCUCCGCCGUCCCCUCCUCCUUGACUGCCUGUCCCCUCCUCUGAAGAAGGAGCACGGGGCCCGCUGCUACGCCGCCGUCGCCAUCGUCCUGCCUGAUCUGAGGUGCGAGUGGGAGGAGAAGGGGACGCGCCCUCGUCCUCAGCCCGCCAUCGACGUUGUCCCGCCGGACCUGAUCUGGUUUUGUUCUCCCUGUAAGUAUUUGGAUUAAGACCAAAGUUGAAUGCUUCGACAUAUUUAGGAUGUAGCCACGCACAAACGUCGUGACAAUGAUGGGCUGCUGCAAGUAUGCUCAGAGGGUUCUCGCGGAUCGUGCUGGUCAUUACGUGGCCUUGGAGUGGGCCAACUGCCUGACGACGAGCAAGAGGGAGAUGUUCUUCGAGCAGCGGUUGCUCGGCUGCGACCAUGAGGACGUGUCCAAUGUGGUGCUACUUGCCUAGCGUGAUUUUUGUUGGCAUUGCUGAGAAGAGUUUGAUGCCGCUCGACAUUUUUGCCUCAAAAAUAAAAAAGUCUGACGCCUACCAAUUCUCCUGCCGAGGCUCCUAUCAACGGCGGAUCGACAAUUUGAGGAAGAGAUUUGAAAGUUUGUCAGGGCGGAGAAGAUGGUUCUCAAGUAUGCUACUCUCUUUAAUUCUGUGUGGGAAUGUUAAAGAUUUAUAAAACUGCUUGCUACAAUCUUACUUGUACCUGCAAUUGUGUUUAUACAAGACAGAGCUCUGCCGUUUCAGUGGUGCCAAGAUAUACCUGAGAAGGGUAUCGGAUUCAUCGUUCAGAAUCUCAAGUAACUUUUGUACACAUAUCAUUAGUGUGAAUGGAAUGAAAUAAGUAGAAGUUUGCUAAAAUUGUGCUGCACAUUCUUUGUGCGUACCCAAAAUCAAGUCUUCCUUUUCUCCAACUCAAAGGGCAAGUGCUGUUUCCGCAACCACUUACAUGGACGGCCAUGUACAGGAAGCAGCAGAAGAACGUACAUGGUAACAAGCCAAUUCCUGUAAAUGAUGUACUCCAUAUACUUCAACAUAUGUUCAAUAAUCUUAAUAGUAUCUCCUAUAGAGUGAUCGAUUAGGCAGUGUAAGUACAAUGAUCUGGUAGGUAAUUGCGCUGCUUAAAUAUUUCCUUUGAUUAAUAGUUUGAUUUACUAAUAGCUACUGGCAGACAAACAAAGUGACAUCUAAUUAGUCUCAGGGAUUGAAUGAUUUAGUUACCACACUGUUAGUUAGUCGGCUCGCUGUGCACAACAUGAAUGAUAUAUACUGCUUAAUCGUGUGUAAUUUUCUUUCCUUUUGCUCUGUUGUAAGUGGAUGUAUUGUUUGGGCAGAUAUCAUCUCUGUUUAGAUGUGUUUUAACCAAUACUCCGUGUACUCAUUUGCUUUGUUUUUUUAAGCAAAUACAAAUUGUAUGGGCAUAUGAAGUUCUGGCUUAUAAUUUUCCGUGGUGUGGUUGUUAGAUAUUGUGCAUAAGUACAAUACUUCUCCUAACAACCUGAAUGUCAUGUAUGUUACUUAUUUAUUGUUAUGUUAUUUUAGGAAGGCUGUUUUACAUCAGAUUCAGAUGCUUUUCUUUUUGGGGCAAGGACAGUUUACAGAGAUGUCUUCAUAGGGGACGGUGGUUAUGUCAUUUGCUACGAAAUGGAGGACAUAGAGAAGAAGCUUCAUUUUGACAGGAAAUCACUGCUAUGUUGCAAUGAUCUAUCCUUCUCGAGUUGAUCUUAUGGGAUUUCUUGCAACCCAUAAUUUGAUUCUUUCAUCUAACGCCAUAUCCUGCUGGAGUGGUCCACGGCGCCGUCACCGUCUUCCUAGCUGCGGCGUCCAGGAGCUCGUCGACGUCCUUGUUUGACGUGUCUGCCUUCAAGGCCGUGCGGCUCCGCCUCGACGCCAAAGCGCGGGUCGAGCACCGCCGUGCCGAGGGCCUUGUGCACAAACCCCGCCACGUCCGUUUGCGGUGCCGACGUGCGAUGCGGACAAGCGGUGGUGUGUCCUGGUCGUGCUGGGUUGGCUGAGCAAUGCCACGCGGAUCCGGCUCAAUGAGGUUAUCAGCGACGUGCUGCGGGAGCGGGAGAGCAGGAUCUGGUCCGGGCAGUCCCUGGCACGCUGCUGCUGCUCGUGCAGCAGAACGGCGACCGCAGCGGCGUGUCCGGAGAGAGCUGCGUGGGCCAAGAGUUCUCCGUCCACUUCCAUGGCCCCAAUGAG